rnacentral:rRNA from 1 species
UACGUAGGCAGCAAGCGUUGUUCGGAAUUACUGGGCGUAAAGAGUGUGUAGGUGGUGUCGUAAGUUUGGUGUGAAAUCUCCCGGCUUAACUGGGAGGGUGCGCCGAAGACUGCGAUGCUGGAGUAUGGGAGAGGAAAGCGGAAUUCCUGGUGUAGCGGUGAAAUGCGUAGAUAUCUGGAGGAACACCGGUGGCGAAGGCGGCAUCCUGGACCGGCAUUGACGCUGAGGCGCGAAAAGCCAGGGGGAGCAAACGGGG